UCUGGGGCAUCACCGUUCGGCUUUUGUUGCAAGAAACUUCGAGACCGGACCACCCAGUAGCUAGAUGUGGACUUUCGAGGACUCGGACCCCGUUCCAAGUCCAGUCGUCCCUUUCUAGGCCAUUGUGCCUUUCUUCGGCGUUUUGGGACGGAACCAAGAAACCGAGUCUGGGGCGUCACCGUUCGGCUUUUGUGGGCAAGAAACUUCGAGAUCGGACCAACCAGUAGCUAGAUGUGGACUUUUGAGGCCUCGGACCCCGUUCCAAGUCCGGUCGUCCCUUUCUAGGCCAUUGUGCCUUUCUUCGGCGUUUUGGGACGGAACCAAGAAACCGAGUCUGGGCGUUACCGUUCGGCUUUUGUGGGCAAGAAACUUCGAGAUCGGACCACCCAGUAGCUAGAUGUGGACUUUCGAGGCCUCGGACCUCGUUCCAAGUCCAAUCGUCCCUUUCUAGGCCAUUGUGCAUUUCUUCGGCGUUUUGGGACGGAACCAAGUAACCGAGUCUGGGGCGUCACCGUUCGGCUUUUGUGGGCAAGAAACUUCGAGAUCGGACCACCUAGUAGCUAGAUGGGGACUUUCAAGGCCUCGGACCCCGUUCCAAGUCCGGUCGUCCCUUUCUUGGCCAUUGUGCCUUUCUUCGGCGUUCUGGGACGGAACCAAGAAACCGAGUCUGGAGCGUCACCGUUCGGAUUUUGUGGGCAAGAAACUUCGACAUCGGACCACCCAGUAGCUAGAUGUGGACUUUCGAGGCCUCGGACCCCGUUCCAAGUCCGGUCGUCCCUUUCUAGGCAAUUAUGCCUUUCUUCGGCGUUUUGGGACGGAACCAAGAAACCGAGUCUGGGCGUUACCGUUCGGCUUUUGUGGGCAAGAAACUUCGAGAUCGGACCACCCAGAAGCUAGAUGUGGACUUUUGACGCCUCGGACCCCGUUCCAAGUCCGGUCGUCCCUUUCUAGGCCACUGUGCCUUUCUUCAGCGUUCUGGCACGAAACGAAGAAACCCAGUCUGGGGCGUCACCGUUCGGCUUUUGUGGGCAAGAAACUUCGAGAUCGGACCACCCAGUAGCUAGAUGUGGACUUUCGAGGCCUCGGACCCCGUUCCAAGUCCGGUCGUCCCUUUCUAGGCCAUUGUGCCUUUCUUCUGCGUUUUGGGACGGAACCAAGAAACCGAGUCUGGGGCGUCACCGUUCGGGUUUUGUGGGCAAGAAACUUCGACAUCGGACCACCCAGUAGCUAGAUGUGGACUUUCGAGGCCUCGGACCCCGUUCCAAGUCCGAUCGUCCCUUUCUAGGCCAUUGUGCCUUUCUUCGGCGUUUUGGGACGGAACCAAGGAACCGAGUCUAGGGCGUCACCGUUCGGCUUUUGUGGGCAAGAAACUUCGAGAUCGGACCACCCAGUAGCUAGAUGUGGACUUU
rnacentral:lncRNA from 1 species